GAUGAACGCUAGCGACAGGCUUAACACAUGCAAGUCGAGGGGCAGCGAGGGCGUAGCAAUACGCCUGUCGGCGACCGGCGCACUGGUGAGUAACACGUAUGCGACCUGCCCCCUACAGGGGUAUAACCCGUAGAAAUGCGGACUAAUCCCCCAUAGUCCCGCGGGCUGCAUGGCCUGCGGGGGAAAGGGUUUCCGGUAGGGGAUGGGCAUGCGGCGCAUUAGCUAGUUGGCGGGGCAACGGCCCACCAAGGCGACGAUGCGUAGGGGUUCUGAGAGGAAGGUCCCCCACACUGGUACUGAGACACGGACCAGACUCCUACGGGAGGCAGCAGUGAGGAAUAUUGGUCAAUGGGCGCAGGCCUGAACCAGCCAAGUCGCGUGAGGGAGGACGGUCCUACGGAUUGUAAACCUCUUUUGUCGGGGAGUAACGUGCGGGACGCGUCCCGUAUUGAGAGUACCCGAGAAAAGCAUCGGCUAACUCCGUG
rnacentral:rRNA from 1 species